GCUAACGCGUUAAGUCGACCGCCUGGGGAGUACGGCCGCAAGGUUAAAACUCAAAUGAAUUGACGGGGGCCCGCACAAGCGGUGGAGCAUGUGGUUUAAUUCGAUGCAACGCGAAGAACCUUACCUGGUCUUGACNUCCACGGAAGUUUUCNNAGAUGANAAUGUGCCUUCGGGAACCGUGAGACAGGUGCUGCAUGGCUGUCGUCAGCUCGUGUUGUGAAAUGUUGGGUUAAGUCCCGCAACGAGCGCAACCCUUAUCCUUUGUUGCCAGCGGUCCGGCCGGGAACUCAAAGGAGACUGCCAGUGAUAAACUGGAGGAAGGUGGGGAUGACGUCAAGUCAUCAUGGCCCUUACGACCAGGGCUACACACGUGCUACAAUGGCGCAUACAAAGAGAAGCGACCUCGCGAGAGCAAGCGGACCUCAUAAAGUGCGUCGUAGUCCGGAUUGGAGUCUGCAACUCGACUCCAUGAAGUCGGAAUCGCUAGUAAUCGUGGAUCAGAAUGCCACGGUGAAUACGUUCCCGGGCCUUGUACACACCGCCCGUCACACCAUGGGAGUGGGUUGCAAAAGAAGUAGGUAGCUUAACCUUCGGGAGGGC
rnacentral:rRNA from 1 species